AGAGCUAUAGUCAAACUAUGACAUAUAAGUUGCAUUUAUAAAGUGUUUAUAAAACUAGCUUUA
rnacentral:tRNA from 1 species